rnacentral:lncRNA from 1 species
AAAAUUUCAACAAAAGCUUCAGGAAUUAAAAAAAGAGCAACAGCACAAAAUCAAUUAUUUGAUUUUCCAUUAACCCAGUCACAGUUUCACAUUCAAAAAUCAACAAGGUCACAUUCAAAAAUCAACAACAGGGCAUAAAAGGAAGAGAAGAACCGAAGUGAAGGCAGUGCCGCUAACCUUCGACGACGACAUGGACGGCGCCCGGCGAGACGACAGCGAGUGGCAACACAGCGGCGAGCUGCUCCAAGUUCGAG